AAGUCCUGGGCAGAAUUUAUGACUUAAGAGACUUACUUCAAACUCCUUGGAGUACCUCCCUGCUAAAUACCUGCUUAAGUCUGGAGGUUCAAAUGAAGUUCUCCCCCCGCCAUCGUUUGUCACCUCCCUCCUUCUCUCUCUAGAAUUGCCCAUCUCCUUCCUCCCCACUGCCCUCACUGCUGUCUUGGUUGCACCGGUCAGGAAAAUACAGUUUUAUCUCCUCGGCUCAGCAGAGUGGACAGGUGUUUGUACACGGCUGAACCCUCCAGCACUACUGAAAGAGUUGCUGUCCUGCAUGCAAAAGGAGAAAAAACCUUAACAAAACCCCCUCAACCUCCGUCCCUACCGCCCCCGCCCCCCAAGCCCCAAGAAGCCCCAGAGAUGCUUUUCUCCUGAAAAAGUUAAGCGUGACUUAGUAAACAUUUGUAAAUGCAAAUAGAACUGAAUAAAUAAACAUCAAACCAGGUAGUUUGGGUGUAAUAGUUUAGCAGGACUAAUUGCAGACAAUGAAACUGAAAUGACUUCUCCAAUUACCUGCCGGUUGGAGCUUAUUUGGAGGAACUGUCAGCUCUAGCGACGGAUAAUAGCUUUAUUGCUCACAAAACUAUCAUCUAUUUAGAACAUAUGUGCUAAUUACUCUGGAUGGGCGUCGGAAAAGAGACCAUAAAUCUAUUAGCUCUUUAAAAAGUCUAAGAUACUCCCUUUAGCCCUUUAAAAAGUCUAAGAACAACCAAACUCUCUUCCUUUGGACCUUAAGGGCAAGAUUUUCGCCUGGAUGGUACUCUUUCCAUAAAAUAGAAAUAAAAUAAAAUAAAAUAAAAUAAAAUAAAAUAAAAUAAAAUAAAAUAAAAUAAAAUAAAAUAAAAUAAAAUAAAAUAAAAUAAAAUAAAAUAAAAUAAAAUAAAAUAAAAUAAAAUAAAAUAAAAUAAAAUAAAAUAAAAUAAAAUAAAUUCAGUCAUAUAUACAUGUAUAUUUGCGACUUCACAGUGGGAGGGAAAAUAAAGGAUAGCAUCUUUCUGUAGACCAAACUGGUGCAAUAAAUCACUGUCAUAAAACCGAUUUUCCUCUUUAGCCUUGCACUAUUUUUUCCCCCAAAAAGAUUAGUUUAAAAAUCAUUUAAUUGGAUUACUCUGGAAAAUUAAUCUCCUUUGGGCUCGCUAAGUUUGUGUACCAAAUAUCCCGAAUUAAUUCAGUGCCACAAAACGCAUCUGCGACGCCUUUUGUUCAAAGUAGCUAAAAAAGGGACAGGUAGGGAAGGUAGCAUUUCGCCGUACGCAUUCACGUCCCCUCGCAGUUCUCUAUGCAUAUUCAUUGCUGUAUGUGUCGCAUUGUACCGCAUAGAAUUGCUAUUGUAAAGGACAUAAACAGAAUUGUUUGCUGGACUGUGCUGUGGGUCAAGACACCAGUGAGGGGUGAGGAAUUCAGGGGAAAAAGCAGAGAAAGGAAAAAGCUUUGGCAGCCCAAGCAGGCGUCGCGCACCGAGGGUCAUACCCAGGUCGAAGCGGCUUUCCGUCGCCAUCCGCCCCUGGCCGCUUCGCGGGCGCGCACUCCCUCCGCGCCGCUUCGAACCACUCCGCCCUCCCGCCUCUGCUCCUCUCCGCUUCUCUAGCUGGCCCCGGACCUGCGACACUUUCGGAGCCGUCUGAGUGGAACUCCCCAUCCCGGGCACCCGCUGGGAAUCAAUAGGAUCCCUCAAUUUUCAGUCCUAUUUGAGUGUGAGCAGCACCCUCGCGAGGUGCCAUUAAUUGCGGGGGCGGUGGGGGGUUAGAGGCUUAAUGACUUGUCAGGGGGGUGGUGGUGACUCUGUAACGCAAUGUCUUCUUUCCCCCCGCCUUUUACAAGUACGGGCUGUGUCGCUGCUAACAGAGCAAUAAAAUUGGCUUCAUCUA